AACCCAUGUUAAGGACAUUUCCUCAGGAGUUCCUUGAACCUAUCCCAUGUCUCAAAAAGAAACUCCAAUUAAAUUUGCACAAAGGAGUAUUUUUCAUUCCUAAGCUU